GACGAACGCUGGCGGCGUGCCUAAUACAUGCAAGUUGAGCGAUGAAGAUUGGUGCUUGCACCAAUUUGAAGAGCAGCGAACGGGUGAGUAACGCGUGGGGAAUCUGCCUUUGAGCGGGGGACAACAUUUGGAAACGAAUGCUAAUACCGCAUAACAACUUUAAACAUAAGUUUUAAGUUUGAAAGAUGCAAUUGCAUCACUCAAGGAUGAUCCCGCGUUGUAUUAGCUAGUUGGUGAGGUAAAGGCUCACCAAGGCGAUGAUACAUAGCCGACCUGAGAGGGUGAUCGGCCACAUUGGGACUGAGACACGGCCCAAACGCCUACGGGAGGCAGCAGUAGGGAAUCUUCGGCAAUGGACGAAAGUCUGACCGAGCAACGCCGCGUGAGUGAAGAAGGUUUUCGGAUCGUAAAACUCUGUUGGUAGAGAAGAACGUUGGUGAGAGUGGAAAGCUCAUCAAGUGACGGUAACUACCCAGAAAGGGACGGCUAACUACGUG
rnacentral:rRNA from 1 species